ensembl:lncRNA
UUUAUUGCAGGUGCUUAGAACCUCGUUUACCCCCACAACAUCACAGUUUUCCCGGGCAGCACUACAGUGCUCCCGCGCAACCAAGACUGGCUGUAUGUAAGGGCUGGGCGCCUUGGGGGUGUUUACGUCUGGCUCAAGUCAUUGUUGAGCUUCACCACUCAUCAGCGAUACAACGACCUGCUGGAGCUAGUAUCUGGAGGGGAGCUGUUAGGUGAUGGCUUGAACUGGUGAUUGAGCACCUGGUGAAGGCGUGGCCGGCCAAGGGAGCGCAGGCAGAUUGCUUGCACCUGUGCUCCCCAGGUGACCAGAACGGGUGGGCUCUGUGAUUCUAUUCUAUGAGUCACAGUAGGGCCCCCCAGGGCUCAUAAGAGAGCCAGCCGCGGAAGGGCGAGCAUCUCCUGGUCAUGGGCUGCUCGCUGAGGAGGAGUGCUGUGUGGUCGGAGGGCCCCAUAAGCAGUUGGGUAUUGACUUGAUGCAAUCUACUAAUCACUGGAAGGCAUCUCUUCUAACUGGAGAAAGCAUUAUAUGAAAAUGGUGAACUGGAGCUACGUGGAGUGAUCUGGAGGGAGCUGUUUUCUCUGGCUGGCCAGGGCAGCAGAGCUGGAAGGACUUGGUGACUGGCUGCGACUAGGACCUCAUGCAUGUAGUGGUUGAGGGAGGGUGAAAUCUGCACAGGAGUCCAAAACAAUAUUGCCAAUGGUGAGAAACCAUUUCUGACAAGUCAGAAGACACACCUGCAACGUUCCGGGCUGAAGCAGAAAGAACAACCUCUAGAAAUACAAGAUGGGAAAGCUCCGAGAACGUUCCACAGCACAGAAAGAAGAUUCCCUGAAGAAGCAGCAACUGUUUUUGAGAUAUCAGUCCACUCGGAUUAGAUCUUUUUGCAUGGAUCUGAAAGCUAAUGAAUCUUUGAGGAAGCUUCAGUCAGCAUUAUCCCUCUGUAUUGCAAACGACGUAUUGGAUCUUCAAGCUGUUGUGGAAAUGGCUCCAUUGUUAUCUUCCCUCCAUCGUAUGAGAUACGAAGUGCUGUUCUUUCACUGUCUUAAGAUGUUCAGGAACAUUUUCACAUUUUGGAACAGUUGCUCCCACCUGUUCAGAAAGGAAUGUUGAAUAAUACUGUCAGCAGAUCAACUAUGUUAAUACUUGAGAUGUUCUGAAGACUUGAUACACAGUCCUUCCAGUGGCACAUAAGACAACUGACGACAGCAGCAGCACAGUUGGGCAUGAAGGUUUUAUGCCUAUGUCUGUUCAGAAAUGCCCUUUCAGUUAUGUACUCCCAUAAACUGAAUCAGCAUAUAAAUCUGCACGCUAUGCAAUAGAUGUAUAUGUAGCGGAGGCGCUGGGAUCCAACUCAGGAUAAUGGUGAGUCGAAUUCAGUCACGUCAGAUGUUGGACUUGGGAAAGCGCCUAUUAAGGACGGCAGUGCCAGCUGGGGAAGGUCUUGCAUCUGGCUAUGUGCUCCUGUCACCAAAGCCACUCCUAAGGCUGCACCAGGGCAGCAGUUUGCAGGGUGAUUGAAUGAACCACAUAUAGCACUGGGGAGAAAUGGAAAUCUUUUUUAAGGUCACCAGUAAUAUCACAGAGACAACACCCAGGCUGUGUGAAGACUCAUGAUUUCUGAUGAUGAUAAUAUCCCAAUGGUGGUCGGAAACAUCUAUUUGGUGUGGAUGAUGAUAACUUAUGUUCUAAUGAGUCUAGUCACUCUCAGUGCUUGUCAUUGCCCAUUUGGGGUGGAAUUCUGCUCUGUAUUGCACUAGAAAUCUUUAAAAUUCUGUCUGAAUAUUUCGGUCUGUUUUCUAUCUAUUUUCUUCACUAUUCACUUAAGAAAAAAAAGUCAUCAUUAGAAAGAACCUUUUUUUUUUUGGCAUUUCUUGCUCGCAUGCAAUUUCUUUUUCGCAUGCAUUUCUUGUUUGCACACAAUAGAUGGAGAACUUCAUGGAUAACUGCUUGCUGAAUAUUUCUAACAAUUUACUGUCUCAACACUUGCACAGUAGUGAAAAAUAUUAACUGUGAAGCUCCUCACCCUGUCCUUUUCUCUAUUAUUCCUCAACCUGAUUAUUUGUGCUGUCCUCUCAGAAUAUUAAUGUUACUGCAAUGAAUAUGGUGAAAGUAAGUCACAGUUCAUGAAAUCUAUUCACAGGAUUUGUUCCCAUUUCCUCACAGGUUGUUCUGAAUUAUAAUGACAGUGAAUGACAUUCCAGAUUAAUGAUGUUGAGGGAGGUUUGGGCACUUUUGAAGACAAGGGAAGUUGUCCCUCUGACCUUUAAUCGUUAGGAGUUCACUCAAAGAAUUAAAAUGAAACAUAAAAUAGAUAUUAAGGCUUGGAUAAUGACUUAUGGGAUUACUUCUAUUGAAGUCUUAUGUGCCUAGAAAAUUCCUCGGCGCUAAUAGCUUGGGGGAACAAUGUGCUUGGCACCAGUGGUAUUUUUCACUGCACUGUCUUGCUUUGUGCUCUAGAAUCUGCUCUAGUAUGUCCUUUCAUUUACUAAGAGAAUACAUACUCCAUAGACGUGCUCUUCAUAGGUAUGCACAUCCAUAUUAGCAAGAUGCUUUAAUUUUUCAGCUUUCAGUAAGCCACUAAAAGUGUUUGUCUAUCAUGUGAGUUGAAUUG